GUACACUCCUGCGGGAGGCAGCAGUGGGGAAUAUUGGACAAUGGUCGCAAGCCUGAUCCAGCCAUGCCGCGUGAGUGAUGAAGGCCCUAGGGUUGUAAAGCUCUUUCACCGGUGAAGAUAAUGACGGUAACCGGAGAAGAAGCCCCGGCUAACUUCGUGCCAGCAGCCGCGGUAAUACGAAGGGGGCUAGCGUUGUUCGGAUUUACUGGGCGUAAAGCGCACGUAGGCGGACUAUUAAGUCAGGGGUGAAAUCCCGGGGCUCAACCCCGGAACUGCCUUUGAUACUGGUAGUCUUGAGUUCGAGAGAGGUGAGUGGAAUUCCGAGUGUAGAGGUGAAAUUCGUAGAUAUUCGGAGGAACACCAGUGGCGAAGGCGGCUCACUGGCUCGAUACUGACGCUGAGGUGCGAAAGCGUGGGGAGCAAACAGGAUUAGAUACCCCGGUAGUCCCAUGAU
rnacentral:rRNA from 1 species